rnacentral:rRNA from 1 species
GAUGAGCGCUGGCGGCGUGCCUAAUACAUGCAAGUCGAGCGAACAGACGAGGAGCUUGCUCCUCUGACGUUAGCGGCGGACGGGUGAGUAACACGUGGAUAACCUACCUAUAAGACUGGGAUAACUUCGGGAAACCGGAGCUAAUACCGGAUAAUAUAUUGAACCGCAUGGCUCAAUAGUGAAAGACGGUUUUGCUGUCACUUAUAGAUGGAUCCGCGCCGCAUUAGCUAGUUGGUAAGGUAACGGCUUACCAAGGCAACGAUGCGUAGCCGACCUGAGAGGGUGAUCGGCCACACUGGAACUGAGACACGGUCCAGACUCCUACGGGAGGCAGCAGUAGGGAAUCUUCCGCAAUGGGCGAAAGCCUGACGGAGCAACGCCGCGUGAGUGAUGAAGGUCUUCGGAUCGUAAAACUCUGUUAUUAGGGAAGAACAAAUGUGUAAGUAACUAUGCACGUCUUGACGGUACCUAAUCAGAAAGCCACGGCUAACUACGUG